GUAUAUUUUUCAGGAUUUGUCAUCCCCUGACUACACAGCACCCGGGACACACUCCUUCCUACCUGGAGUUUGGAAUUGAUAUUGAAUUCCUCAAUGGAGAACAGCCUUGGGAACCAGAGAGCCUGCUGCACACUUACUGUGAAACCCAGCCUCUCCUCGGAGGACUAAGAAGAGAUGUCUUCUUCUGCCUUAUGGACUCUGAUUUCUCUCUCUCUCUCUCUCUCUCUCUCUCUCUCUCUCUCUCUCUCUCUCUCUCUCUCUGGAGACUCCAUCAUGCUGUUGCUUCUCUACCUGUCCAUGGAAUUAAUAGCUCUUCUAAUAAGUGUCUUAAUCCCUAGUAAUCUUUAAGGGUUCCUCUUGGACACCCUACCCUGCCACCACCAUCUAAAACCCAACAAUAACUGACCAUUUUCUCAGUUGUUGAUGUUUACUGGGAGAUAAAUAGCUUCAGAUAACAGUUAACGGGAUCUUGAUGAACAAACCAGAAAAGAGCUAGUACCAGCCAUGGGGAUGCAGUGUUAGGAGGGCUGGUUUCUGGAGACAUGCCAGCGCCUAGAAGCACACACUCUCCCAGGUCAUCAGGAUGAUUCUAACCAUGGCCUUGACUCUAUAUCCACAGCAUAGCUUCUGAAAGCCCUUUCUGUAAAGCCAGCUGCUCCUUGUAGGCUCCUGAGCAGGCACUGUCAGACUGACUGGAUGUUCAGAGGUGCCAACUGGAUUUGCCAGUGUGAAAAGGGAGGAUUUUCUCAGAAGCAGCCCUAGAGACCUCCCUCCAGUAGAAUUUUGAUGUGUAGGAACACAGGGACCUCAUCUGUGUUCUGCUAAGAACACACAGUGCUAGAUGUACUUGUGAGUGAAUAUAUGGGUCACAGGCUGCCAGGUUCAACCUAUGGCAACUGAACAGUGUCCAUCACACUCCCAGGAAGCCCUCAAAACAUCCCUUCUGCCCAAAGGAAGCUCUGUACACUCACCCAACAUGUUUGAUUCAGAUAUGGAGGACAAUGCCUGGGACAGAGACAGCCAUUUCCAAAGAAGCUUCAAUGGUUGGGGUUGUCAAUUCACUAUGCAAGCGGAGCAGUGUGCAUCUGUCCACCACCCUUCUUUGCUCCCUGACUGUGAAUUCACUGUAAUGAAGUUUUUCAAACUUCCUUACCAUGGAAGACAAACCUAGAACUGAAGCUAAAACAAACCCUUUGUUCCCUGAGUUGUUUUUGCCAAGGGAUUUUUAUCACAACAGGAAAACAAACCAGGACAACUUCUCUCCUUGGCAUACUCCUCUACAAGAAUUAUAGCCCAGUCAAGCCCCUGGAUAUAGAGAGGAGCCAACUGGGAAGGUGUGUCAGCCCCCUGCACUCCCUGGCUGGUAUCUGACAUGGGCCAGGAGCAGAGUCAUUGGCCACAUCUCCAGAGACAGAGUAUAACCCUGGGGAUUCAUACCUAAGCAGCCAAGGCAAAAGGGAAUCCCCUUUCCUUAUCCCUCCUGCUCCAGAGGCUUGCAGAGUGAGGUCAACUCCUAGUUGUGUAACUGAAGGGCUCACUGCCACUAGAGCAGUUCAACUUGACUACAGCAGUGUGGGAAAUCUUCUCUCCCUCAGCUGAGAGUUUGUAGGGAGCAUGGAAUCAUAUUCAGGGGCUCAUGUGCUCAUGAGCAGGUCUCCAUCAUCCUGAAUCUCCCUCGUUAGCCUCUUAGUGGGUCCUCACACUGUUCUCCCAAGCCCUGGUUCCAUUCUCUCCACUCCAAAUGUUUUAUAAAGUGUAUCUUCCUUGGCUGUCUUUGCUGUGUCCCAGGCAAAUGCUGGCUUUACCUGUGCAGGGUAGGCCCCAUUUCCUUGGGAGGAGCUGUGUGUGUCAGGGGCUGAGUCCCGCCCCAGACCUAGCAGAUGACAUUUUCUGCUCCUAGACUAUAUACCUAGAAGGGUGCCCCCAAAAAACUUUAACUCAUCUCAGUGACAGGAUAUGGAGCAACUCAUCUGUGGCACACAGCUUAGGGAACCAUGGCAGCCAGGGCAUAGGUCACACACUGCCAGAAGCUUCUGUGGAUAAUGUUGGUUCUGAUGUCUCCUAACUCACAAUCACUGGGUGUGAUGAUGCACCCCUUUAAUGCCUACACAUGGUAGACAGAGGCAGACGAAUCUCCGUUAGUCUGAGGCUAGCAUAGGCUACAUAGUGAGACACAGUCUCAAAACAAAUAAAUAAAUAUGAACCCAUAGUUACAUGUCUUAUUCAUUGUUAGCCAUGUGUUGCUUUUUUAAGUGUAGAGAACUGUCUUUUGGAGAAUCCGUUUUUACUGCUGUUCAAUGGAAGAUUGCUAAUAAUAAAACCAACUUGAGU
rnacentral:lncRNA from 1 species